UAUUUUUAUUAAACCCAUUAAUAAUAAUCUAUAAAAUAAGAAAUAUAAAUAAUACAUAUAUAAGUAUAGUGAUAGAAAUUUAUUAUAAUAAGAAGUAGUAUCAUAUCUA
rnacentral:rRNA from 1 species